AGAUACCGUCCUAGUUCUGACCAUAAACGAUGCCAACUGACGAUCCGCGGCGGUUCUUUAAUUGGCCCCGCGGGCAGUCCCCGGGAAACCCUUAAGUCUUUGGGCUCCGGGGGAAGUAUGGUUGCAAAGCUGAAACUUAAAGGAAUUGACGGAAGGGCACCACCAGGAGUGGAGCCUGCGGCUUAAUUCGACUCAACACGGGAAAACUCACCCGGCCCGGACACUGUGAGGAUUGACAGAUUGAUAGCUCUUUCUUGAUUCGGUGGUUGGUGGUGCAUGGCCGUUCUUAGUUGGUGGAGCGAUUUGUCUGGUUAAUUCCGAUAACGAACGAGACUUUGACCUACUAAUUAGUAUGCCUAUCCUCUGUGCUCGUGCAGGUCUCGGUUGCAGUUGCCUCCUUGAGGGGUGGUGUGGCCGUGGACCGGCGGGUACGGCGUGGUGCUUACUUCUUAGAGGGACAAGCGGCGCGCAAAGUCGCACGAAAUUGAGCAAUAACAGGUCUGUGAUGCCCUUAGAUGUCCGGGGCCGCACGUGCGCUACAAUGACGGUGCCAGCGAGCAUGGAAACCUGGCCUGAAAGGGCUGGGCAAACUUUUCAUCACCGUCGUGACUGGGAUCGGGGCUUGCAAUUAUUCCCCGUGAACGAGGAAUUCCUAGUAAGUGCAAGUCAUAAGCUUGCGCUGAUUACGUCCCUGCCCUUUGUACACACCGCCCGUCGCUACUACCGAUUGAAUGGUCAAGCUGAGGUAAUCGGAUUGGUCUGGCUGAGCGGCUCACUGUCGCUUGACUGGUAUCGAGAAGAUGACCAAACUUGAUCAUUUAGA
rnacentral:rRNA from 5 species